rnacentral:rRNA from 1 species
CAGCAGCCGCGGUAAUACGGAGGAUGCAAGUGUUAUCCGGAAUUACUGGGCGUAAAGCGUCUGUAGGUGGUUUAAUAAGUCAACUGUUAAAUCUUGAGGCUUAACUUCAAAACAGCAGUCGAAACUAUUAGACUAGAGUAUAGUAGGGGUAAAGGGAAUUUCCAGUGGAGCGGUGAAAUGCGUAGAUAUUGGAAAGAACACCGAUGGCGAAAGCACUUUACUGGGCUAUUACUAACACUCAGAGACGAAAGCUAGGGUAGCAAAUGGGAUUAGAUACCCCAGUAGUCCUAGCUGUAAACAAUGGAUACUAGAUGUUGAACAGAUCGACCUGUGCAGUAUUAAAGCUAACGCGUUAAGUAUCCCGCCUGGGAAGUAUGCUCGCAAGAGUGAAACUCAAAGGAAUUGACGG